GUAAAACCCUAUGGACCUGAAAGGGACUGCAGUGUGCUCCAGUCUCCAGCAGGGGGCAGUAAAACCCUAUGGACCUGAAAGGGACUGCAGUGUGCUCCAGUCUCCAGCAGGGGGCAGAAAAAGUAAAGGUGUGUCAAAUGGAAGGGAAAGUCUCCCCACUGAGAGGAAAACAUCACUGGUCCACCUCUGCAUCAGGUCAGCUAUGUUGAUCAGUACUGUCCCAGGGAUGCUGGGAGCAGAGAUGAACUCCCCUGACCUGGUACCACCUAUGGAGUUGUCAUUUUAAUAUCAGUUUAACCCCAUUACUGCUAUAACACAUAAACCAUGUUAAUAGAAUGAAAUGGAUCCAGGUUCCAUUUAUUCUACAUUCGAUUUACUGCCAGUGGAACACUUCUCCAAAGUGGUCUGAAAUCAAGAUGACUGCAGGUCUGAAUCCUAAACUAAUAAUAUACUGACCAGCAGGAGAGGACAGUGGAGGAAAUGGUGAGGGACAGGAAUGAUAUACUGACCAGCAGGAGAGGACAGUGGAGGAAAUGGUGAGGGACAGGAAUGAUAUACUGACCAGCAGGAGAGGACAGUGGAGGAAAUGGUGAGGGACAGGAAUGAUAUACUGACCAGCAGGAGAGGACAGUGGAGGAAAUGGUGAGGGACAGGAAUGAUAUACUGACCAGCAGGAGAGGACAGUGGAGGAAAUGGUGAGGGACAGUCUGAUACUACAUCACUAUAUACUGUAUACUAUUCAGGUACAGCACUAUAUACUGUAUACUAUUCAGAUACAUCACUAUAUACUGUAUACUAUUCAGGUUCAGGUACUAUAUACUAUUAAGGUUCAGGUACAUCACUAUAUACUGUAUACUAUUCAGGAACAACACUAUAUACUGUAUACUAUUCAGGUACAGCACUAUAUACUGUAUACUAUUCAGGUACAUCACUAUAUACUGUAUACUAUUCAGGUACAUCACUAUAUACAAUGUACUAUUCAGGUACAUCACUAUAUACUGUAUACUAUUCAGGUACAACAUGGAGUUAGAACAGCCAGAUAGACCAGUGAUCCAUGAACCUAGAAAGGUCUCAUUAUCACUAAGAGACCAGUUAAAAGCAGAGAUACUGAGGCUCGGGGCCUUAGAUAUCCUAGACAAAAGUAUAAGAUGCCUACUGAAUGGGUCCACUCACUAGUAAUGGUGGAGAAGAAGACGACUCUCUCAGACUGUGUAUGGAUCCAACAGAGAUAAACAAGCAUGUAAAAGGGAACCCUUCCUGUUGCCUACCAGAGGGGAGAUAUUCAGGGACAUAACAGGGGAGAACAGGGGAGAGCGAGCGGUCGCAUCCGCACUUCGGUCCGCAGGUAGUAUUACUUUUCAUUACUUUUCAUUACAUUUCAUUAUAGUACAACGGUUUGAUUUGUCUAAUCUUAGCAAUUUCUUCUUAGCUAGCUACAUAGCCGUCUUUGUAUCAAAGAUAAUUGCGUAAUUAUCGUAUUUCGUCGUCCUAACGUAGUCUACUGCCCAGCAGCUAGCCACAUAGCUACGUCCACCGUAUAGCAGCACCGUAGAAACUAUUACACUCAACUGAACGACUUGAUUAGUGUAGUGUUAGCUAGCUACAUAGUUGUCUUUGCUGUCUUCGUAUCCAAGAUAAUUGUGUAGUUUAGAGUGUGUAGUCUUAGAGUGAUAAUCUUAAUUUACCGAGGUUAGCUAGCCAGCUAUUUGUCGUCCUUAACGUAGGAGACACUGCUAGCUAGCUAACAGCUAGCCAACAUCUACCGAAUUAACUUCCCACUCAACAACCCGGUCGCAUUCUACUUCGCUCCACAGGUAGUAUCACAUUUUCAUUUAAUUUCAUUACAGCACAACGGUUUGAUUUGCUUGAUCGUAGCUAGCUACAUAGCUAGCUACAUAGCCGUCCUUGUAUCAAAGAUAAUUGUGUAGUCUAGAGCGAUUUUCUAGGUUAGCUAGCCAGCUAUUGUCGUUCUUUUAACGCAACGUAAUGUAAUCAACACUGCUAGCUAGCCAGCU